GACGAACGCUGGCGGCGUGCUUAACACAUGCAAGUCGAACGGAAAGGCCCUGCUUUUGUGGGGUGCUCGAGUGGCGAACGGGUGAGUAACACGUGAGUAACCUGCCCUUGACUUUGGGAUAACUUCAGGAAACUGGGGCUAAUACCGGAUAGGAGCUCCUGCUGCAUGGUGGGGGUUGGAAAGUUUCGGCGGUUGGGGAUGGACUCGCGGCUUAUCAGCUUGUUGGUGGGGUAGUGGCUUACCAAGGCUUUGACGGGUAGCCGGCCUGAGAGGGUGACCGGCCCCAUUGGGACUGCGAUACGGCCCAGACUCCUACGGGAGGCAGCAGUGGGGAAUAUUGCACAAUGGGCGGAAGCCUGAUGCAGCAACGCCGCGUGCGGGAUGACGGCCUUCGGGUUGUAAACCGCUUUCGCCUGUGACGAAGCGUGAGUGACGGUAAUGGGUAAAGAAGCACCGGCUAACUACGUG
rnacentral:rRNA from 1 species